rfam:Ajellomyces capsulatus H143 genomic scaffold supercont2.3, whole genome shotgun sequence.
CUGUACCUGAUCCGGGGUGAUAAAAUGAAUGUGAGUAUCCACGCCACCAGCGGUGACUAUGUUUCGUUCCCCAGAAAUUACAUCAGUACCAGAUCCAACAAACAUAUUCGGAUAGACCCCAUCCAUAACAUCAGGGUUCCCCGCUUUUCCGAUACCGACAAUAUUUCCAUCCUUAAUGCCGAUAUCAGCUACAUAAAUCCCAGUCCAAUCGACAAUAAGUGCAUUCGUAAUAACGGUGUCCAGUACGUCGUCUGAGCAUCUUCCGGACGCUUGGCCCAUGCCUUCUCUCAA